GUGCUCACUUUGGCAGCAUAAAUAUUAAAAUUGGAACUAUACAGAGAAGAUUAGCAUGGCCCCUGUGCAAGGAUGACAUGCAAAUUUGUGAAGCAUUCCAUACUUUU
ensembl:snRNA U6 U6 spliceosomal RNA